GCUAGUGUGGUUCAGUGGUAGAGCAUCAGCUCAUACACUGAAAGAUUGCAGGUUUGAUUCCUGGUCAAGAGCA
rnacentral:tRNA from 1 species